rnacentral:lncRNA from 1 species
CUCCUUUCUUCUGCACAUUUGCUGCUCAUGCUGUGUCAAACCCAAUUAUCAUCAUUAUCUCAGUUCUGUCACACUGUAUAAAUACAUGUCUAAAUAAACCAAACAGCAUGACAAUUUUUGUCAAGGGAAACUACAAGGAAGGAUUUCAUUAGGGCUUUGCAGAGAAUGCCUUGCAGAAACCAGAAGCAAGCUAAGACUUAAGAGUCCAGGUCUUAGUACAGAUUGAAGUAGAGCUAUCUCCUCAAGCAGCACCUCCUAGUAGCAUUGGGUUCUCAGAUGGGCUGGAGGCAGGAUGACAGUGAUCUCACAUCCCAAAAGUAGGAUUCCUGAAUAUGUCAGAGUGAAAGCUCCAACAGAAAAAAAUCAGGCAAAUGGUAUCUUACAGUGACUCCUAAGCCCCAGAAACCCAGGCUUUCAAAGUCUCAGUCUAAAAUCAGGAUAUUAACCCCACAGACAUUGCACACAAAAGAGCUUGGAUGAAGAAACAUGAAGCAUUACUUAAAUGAGCUGCGGGUGAGGGGAUUACUGUUUGUAUGUAAAAGGAAACACAGGAGAGAUAUUUUAACUUACACCUUCCAGCUCCUCACUGUGGCUUGGAUCCAAUGCCUGUAAAAGUCAGUGGAAAGACUCUCAUUGACUUCAUGAGAACUGGAUCAGGUCCCACAUGAGUUACACCUACUUAGGCUCCCUGCCAUAGGUGGAGGUAGUCCUGAAAGAGAGCGCAAGUGAAAGGAGUUUAAUUUACAUGACCUUACAGUUCACUCUCCAUCUACAGCUGCUUUUUUUACUAAAGAGGAAACAUCUCCAGCACUGCAGAAGAGGAAGGCACAGUGUGGUUCAUACAGGUGUUUUUUCUUGUUGCUUGCAAGUUAUCACACUGGCUGCUCCAACUGGCUUCAAGGGGAAACUGGGAUCCAGAUAUUCUGAAAGUCAGGAGCGAAGGAUUUCUACUGCAGCAGCCAAAGGAACACAGGCAGCCAAAAUAAGAGAUCACAUGAAGGAGAUGGUCUAAACAUGCCAGCUGCAAAGUGCAGAGACUGUAAUGUGUAAUACCUGCUUUAAAUUAGAUAACGAAUUACCUAAUGCAGAGUGAAAUGAGAGAGUGGAAUUAAAAAACAUUAAAAAAUUAAAAACCUAUUGGUUGCCCCUGGCAGGAUUUAAUUUUGGUUCUGCUCUCUUGGCUAUUCACUGAGAGACUUACUAAUACCUCAUGGAAAACUUUACCACUCUUUCCAUGUUGAAGCACUUAGAGGAAAUGUGUUAUAUCAUGUCAUUUUGUUAUGUUUCCUCUUUCCCCAC